GGAGGCUAUAUACAGGGGGUACCGGUACAGAGUCAAUGUGGAGGCUAUAUACAGGGGGUACCGGUACAGAGUCAAUGUGGAGGCUAUAUACAGGGGGUACGGUACAGAGUCAAUGUGGAGGCUAUAUACAGGGGGUACUGGUACAGAGUCAAUGUGGAGGCUAUAUACAGGGUAUUACGGUACAGAGUCAAUAUGGAGGCUAUAUACAGGGUAUUACGGUACAGAGUCAAUGUGGAGACUAUAUACAGGGGGUACUGGUACAGAGUCAAUGUGGAGGCUAUAUACAGGGGGUACCAGUACAGAGUCAAUGUGGAGGCUAUAUACAGGGGGUACCGGUACAGAGUCAAUGUGGAGUCUAUAUACAGGGGGUACCUGUACAGAGUCAAUGUGGAGGCUAUAUACAGGGGGUACCUGUACAGAGUCAAUGUGGAGGCUAUAUACAGGGGGGUACCGGUACAGAGUCAAUGUGGAGGCUAUAUACAGGGGGUACUGGUACAGAGUCAAUGUGGAGGCUAUAUACAGGGGGGUACCGGUACAGAGUCAAUGUGGAGGCUAUAUACAGGGGGUACCGGUACAGAGUCAAUGUGGAGGCUAUAUACAGGGGGUACCGGUACAGAGUCAAUGUGGAGGCUAUAUACUGGGGGUACCGGUACAGAGUCAAUGUGGAGGCUACAUACAGGGGUACUGGUACAGAGUCAAUGUGGAGGCUAUAUACAGGGGGUACCAGUACCGAGUCA
ensembl:lncRNA